rnacentral:tRNA from 1 species
GGGUGUGUAGCUCAGUUGGUAGAGCAUUGGGCUUUUAACCUGGUGGCCGUAGGUUCGAGUCCUGCCACACCUA